rnacentral:snoRNA from 1 species
AACCCAUUGGGAGGGCACCUUCUCAAUAAGUCCUUGUAUCUCUCCCAUACAUCGUAAAGUGUUUCUAAAUCCAUCUGCACAAAAAAAGAGAUAUCAUUAUGUAAUU